AGGUAAAUGGCGUAAAUAAGCGUAUACGAUUUCGGCUCGUGAGGUGAAAGGUUCUUCUUUACUUU
rnacentral:tRNA from 1 species